ensembl:lncRNA
CCGCCUGUAAUCAGGGUCUGGGUGCGCGAGCGUUUGUGCUCUGCUGGCAGCCUGUGUGGGGUGACCGCCCCGCUAGCGGGGUGUGGGUCGAGGUGCCCCGGACUGGGAGAGAAGGAGCCUCCCUCGGCCGUAGGGAUGGGGGCUGCCCUGUAAGUCAGGGAGCAUCUGUGUCCCGGAGUCCCAGGCCCUUUUCAAUGGCGGCAGUGGCCGGGGGUCCCCUGUAAGCAGGGAAGCUGACUCUUUGGCUGCUGCUUUUUGUGUGCCCAGCCCCAUUUGCCCAGCCUGCCCGCCUCUGUGAUCCCCCGCAGCACCGGCUGGAAGUCCGCCGCGCAUCAGUGAGGAAAAAUCAACCUACGGUUGAGGAACAAUGUGAAGGUGAAGCCAGUCUGGUUCUAAAGCAGAAUAAACCCCAUUGCCUGCUGGAUAUGCCUUCUGAGCAUGUGA